ensembl:lncRNA
GUGAGCAUCCUUCUGUCAAACCACCUUUUGAUUACUGAAAUACUGCUUUUCACAGUUCACUACAAGCACGGAAAAUCUGUUUUUAGCCUUUCAACAUUACUCCAACAAGUGAGGAUGGCCACUUGCAUUCUAGCCCCUCUCCAGAGGAGACUGAGUGACAGGUUACCUCCGGGACUCUACAAGGCUGCGGAAGAAGCACGGACCAAGACUGCAGUUCCUGGGACUUCCCUAGUGGUCCAGUGGUUAAGACUCCACCCUUCCAUUGCAGCGGGCACAGGGAUGGAAUUAUAGCCAGGCCUCUGCUGCCCAUCUGGACAGCCUUUCCCCGCCUCCCCGGAAGUUAGAUGUGAGCAAGUGAUGUGGCUGUCAUCAUGGAACGUGAGCAGAGCUGACGUGGAGCAUCCACAGGCCUGGGGGGACGUGGCGGCGAGUCCUCCGUACUCUUUCUCCUUCCUGAUGGCUGGAAUCUGCACUCACAGCCACCCAGUAUCAACCAGUGACUGUGAUGGUACUGCCGAGGCGGGGGCACACAGGGCAAGGAGAGGCGCCCACCUCUUGCGCCACCCAUGUUGACAAUGUGGUGUAAGAGAGAAAUACAACCCUUUGUCUGCCUGGCCACGUGUUGCUGCCUCGCUUUGUUACAGCACUUUUCUCUGUUAUGGUAUGCU